AUUAAGUUUUAUUUUUGCUUAAAAAAUUAUUUUUAGAUUGAUUUACAUAUAAAUUUUUGUAUUUUUAGGUUUAAAUUUUAAAAAUUUAGGUUUUAAUAUUAAUUAUUAGUAAUUAAAAUUAUAUUUAAGGGAAUUCUUUAAAUAGCAAUUUAAGUAAUAUUGAUAAAAAUUGUGCCAGCAAUCGCGGUUACACAAUUAAUAUAAAUAAUUUUUAUUAAUUUAAGUUAAAUAUAAUAAUGAUUGAUUUAAUAAUAAAAUAAUAAAAAAAAAUAAAAUUUAUUAGGUUAAAUUUUAAAUUUUAAUAAAAAUUAAUUUAAUAUAAAUUUAAGCUUAAAAAUUUUAGUUAUAAACUAGGAUUAGAUACCCUAUUAUAAAAAAUGUAAAUAAUUUAUUAGAUUAGUAUUAGUUAUGUUCUUAAAAAUUAAUAAAUUUGGCGGUAUUUUAUUCUAUUCAGAGGAAUUUGUUUUGUAAUUGAUAAUACCCACUAGAUCUUACUUAAUUUAUUAAAAUUUGUAUAUCGUCGUCAUAAGAAUAUCUUAUUAGGGUAAAUAAUAUUCUAAAAUUUAAAUUAUAAAUUAUGUCAGAUCAAGGUGCAGUUUAUAAUUAAGAAAAAAUGAAUUACAAUAGAAAAAUCUAAAUGAAUAAUGAAUUAAAAUAUUUAUUUGAAGGUGGAUUUGAUAGUAAAUUUAUAAAUAUAAAUAAUUUGAUAUUAGUAUUAAAAUAUGCACAUAUCGCCCGUCACUCUAAUUUAUAAAUUAGAUAAGUCGUAACAUAGUAAAAGUACUGGAAAGUGUUUUUAGAUU
rnacentral:ncRNA from 1 species